rnacentral:piRNA from 1 species
UCCUAUUAAAAAUUGCCAAGU